UACGUAGGGUGCAAGCGUUGUCCGGAAUUACUGGGCGUAAAGCGCACGUAGGCGGCUUUGUAAGUUAGAGGUGAAAGCCUGGAGCUCAACUCCAGAAUUGCCUUUAAGACUGCAUCGCUUGAAUCCAGGAGAGGUGAGUGGAAUUCCGAGUGUAGAGGUGAAAUUCGUAGAUAUUCGGAAGAACACCCAGGUGGCGAAGGCAAUCCCCUGGGCCUGCACUGACGCUCGAUGACACGAAAGCGUCGGGGAGCAAACACGG
rnacentral:rRNA from 1 species